GAAUCUCCGCGUUAAGGAUGGAAAUGGCAUCCUUUUUAAUUGUCUCUUUGAGCAUUAUCGAGCUCAAAAUAUAUUUUGUAAGAAGAUAGCUUGCUGAGCAAAACGAAAAGUUUUUAAUUAAAAAGAUAUAAUGAACAGCCUGACCUUGA
rnacentral:sRNA from 1 species